rnacentral:lncRNA from 1 species
GUUCUUUUCUCUUUGAUGCCCUGACAAAUAAUUUUGAGCACUUAUCUGCCAAGUUGAGGCUGUGCCAGAUGUUGUGGACACAGCCCAGAGCAGAGCUGGUGGCCUCACUGCCCUAACAUGUACAAACCUGCAGGGAUGCAAGGUGCCCAGACUGUGCAAAGCAAUGGCAGCUGCAUGCAGUCCAGAGAGAGCACCUGGAGGCCGGGAAGACUUCCAAAAGAAAGUGAUACUUCCAAACAAAAGGAACAGGAAGUUGGCGUCUUGUCCGUCUGCCAUUCAAGAGGACUGAAUACGUUCCAUUAAAUUCGCCUGCAAACCUUUCCUGAAGAGCCCAGCAAGCAGCGAUGAAAAUUACAGAGUGGCUCCCAGGCACUUUAGUGGGUAAUCAGCUGAAAUUGAGCUGUUUUCCAUAUUCUUUGCUGAUAAUGCAAAAGGAACCUUUAAAACAAACAGCUCCAAG